UACGGAGUGUGCAAGCGUUACUCGGAAUCACUGGGCAUAAAGCGCGCGUAGGCGGGCUUUCAAGUCGGUUGUGAAAUCCCUCAGCUCAACUGAGGAACUGCAUCCGAUACUGUUUGUCUUGAGGACGAGAGGGGAGAGUGGAACUUCUGGUGGAGCGGUGAAAUGCGUAGAUAUUCGCAAGAACACCAGUGGCGAAGGCGGCUCACUGGCCCGGUACUGACGCUGAGGUGCGAAAGCGUGGGGAGCAAACAGG
rnacentral:rRNA from 1 species